rnacentral:rRNA from 1 species
AUUGAACGCUGGCGGCAGGCCUAACACAUGCAAGUCGAGCGAGCGGCGGACGGGUGAGUAAUGUCUGGGAAACUGCCUGAUGUAGGGGGAUAACUACUGGAAACGGUAGCUAAUACCGCAUACCAUCCGAUUUGCCCCGAUGGGAGUAGCUAGUAGGUGGGGUAACGGCUCACCUAGGCGACGAUCCCUAGCUGGUCUGAGAGGAUGACCAGCCACACGGGAACUGAGACACGGUCCAGACGCCUACGGGAGGCAGCAGUGGGGAAUAUUGAACAAUGGGCGCAAGCCUGAUGCAGCCAUGCCGCGUGUGUGAAGAAGGCCUUCGGGUUGUAAAGCACUUGCAGCGGGGAGGCGUUACCCGCAGAAGAAGCACAGGCUAACUCCGUGCCAGCAGCCGCGGUAAUUC